ACGAACGCUGGCGGCGUGCUUAACACAUGCCAGUCGCACGGAAAGGCCCUGCUUUUGUGGGGUGCUCGAGUGGCGAACGGGUGAGUAACACGUGAGUAACCUGCCCUUGACUUUGGGAUAACUUCAGGAAACUGGGGCUAAUACCGGAUAGGAGCUCCUGCUGCAUGGUGGGGGUUGGAAAGUUUCGGCGGUUGGGGAUGGACUCGCGGCUUAUCAGCUUGUUGGUGGGGUAGUGGCUUACCAAGGCUUUGACGGGUAGCCGGCCUGAGAGGGUGACCGGCCACAUUGGGACUGAGAUACGGCCCAGACUCCUACGGGAGGCAGCAGUGGGGAAUAUUGCACAAUGGGCGGAAGCCUGGUGCAGCAACGCCGCGUGCGGGAUGACGGCCUUCGGGUUGUAAACCGCUUUCGCCUGUGACGAAGCGUGAGUGACGGUAAUGGGUAAAGAAGCACCGGCUAACUACGUG
rnacentral:rRNA from 1 species